AUGCCAAUGCCAAUAGCGGCCGCGGCCGGAAACGGAGAGGCCUCGCCGCUCGUGGAGGCGGUGGGGUGUAACAUGCUGCAGCCGCGGGGUGGGCCGCCUCCACCGUCGCCGUCCCCGGUGGUCGGCAAGCCGCUCGCGUCCGGCGCAGUGCCGCGGCACGCGCUGGAGUUCGACGGCGAUGGGCGGUAUAUGGACGCGCCAUGGGACCUGCCUACGUCGCCGGAGACGUCGCCUUCCUCCGCACCGGGGGCGUUCACGUGGCAUCACGUCGAGCUCCCGCGGUUGCUCACCGGUGGCGCGGCCGCGAAGCCGCUCCACCACGCGCAGGCGCUGAUCGAGCUCCUGUGCCCGCCGCUCACACUCCAGGAGAUCCUCGCGCUCGUCGGGAACGGCCCGCACUGCGGCGGCGUCGCCGACGGCGGCGGCGGCGCGCUCGUGCUCCGCGUCAGCGCGCCCGGCCCGCUCGGCAGCGCCUUCGCAAUCCGCCUCGCCGCGCGCGUCACCGAGAGCUCCGUAGUCACCGUGUCCGUCGGCGCCGUCCCGCGGCUCGCGUUCGGGACCACGCAGGCGUCGCUCCUCUCGGAGGUGCCCCUCGGGGUGGCCGCCUCGCUCGCCGAAGAGGGGCACGGCGGCGGCCGCGCCGUCGAGGGCGGCGUCGUCAUCGACGAGCGCCUGCUCGAGUCGCUGCUCGCCAUGAACCACGCGGACGGAGCCCACACCGACAACCCAGUGCCACGGACGGUGUCCAACCUCCUCGUGCACGUCCUCGGCACGCACGUCGACCACGUCCACGACAUUGUCACGCGCCUCGAGAUGGAGAUCGACAACAUCGAGCUGCACAUCGACAAAGGUGGUCACUUCAUGAGGAAACUUCUGUUGGAUGGUAGGAGAUUCCCCAAAAUGCACCUUGAUUUACAGCGCCUACUUCAGGUGGUUUCUCACGGCGAACAAGUCUUCCCCCGUGUGAAGGAAAGAUGCGCGAGCAAGAGUUGGUUCGCAACUGAGGAUAUUGCCGCCCUCGAAGAUUUGAUCGGCCGCCUUAGGAGGCUCAAGGAAAACCUUGGAUUUAUAACAAACAGAGUGACUACGCUGCAGGCCAGCCUCGACAGCUGGCAGUCAGAACAGAUCAACAAGAGCCUAUACUAUCUUUCAUUCCUCUCCAUAGUUUUCCUCCCUCUCUCCAUUGUAACCGGAGUUUUUGGAAUGAAUGUCGGUGGUGUGCCAUGGACCGAGCAGAACAAGAACCCCGCAAAUCUGGACGGUUUCGCCAACGUGAUGCUGAUAUGUGCCGUGAUCUUGCUGCUCCUUCUGCUUUGCUUUCUGUUCCCUUCACUGUAUUCUCAUGUGUCGGCAUGGCGAACCCGGCGUGAGCUGACCAGGAGUGGCUCCCAGAACAAGAGGCACCUGAAACUCUUCAAAGGCCACAGGGAAGGUUACAUGCGCCUGUGA
rnacentral:rRNA from 1 species